rnacentral:rRNA from 1 species
UACGUAGGGGCAAGCGUUGUCCGGAUUUAUUGGGCGUAAAGAGCGUGUAGGCGGCUUUGCAAGUCCGUUGUGAAAACUCGAGGCUCAACCUCGAGACGCCGGUGGAAACUGCAAAGCUAGAGUCCGGAAGAGGAGAGUGGAAUUCCUGGUGUAGCGGUGAAAUGCGCAGAUAUCAGGAGGAACACCGGUGGCGAAGGCGGGUCUCUGGGCCGAUACUGACGCUGAGGAGCGAAAGCGUGGGGAGCGAACAGG